rnacentral:rRNA from 1 species
GUAGGUGGCAAGCGUUGUCCGGAAUUAUUGGGCGUAAAGCGCGCGCAGGUGGUUCUUUAAGUCUGAUGUGAAAGCCCCCGGCUCAACCGGGGAGGGUCAUUGGAAACUGGGGAACUUGAGUGCAGGAGAGGAAAGUGGAAUUCCACGUGUAGCGGUGAAAUGCGUAGAUAUGUGGAGGAACACCAGUGGCGUAGGCGACUUUCUGGCCUGUAACUGACACUGAGGCGCGAAAGCGUGGGGAGCAAACAGGGAUUAGAUACCCUGGUAGUCCACGCCGUAAACGAUGAGUGCUAAGUGUUGGGGGGGUUUCCCGCCCCUCAGUGCUGCAGCUAACGCAUUAAGCACUCCGCCUGGGGAGUACGGUCGCAAGACUG